AGUGUGAGUGAGCGCCUCUCAGAGUUUGUGUGUGCGAGUCUGUCAGAGUCUGCGUGCAAGUCUGUUGUCAGUGUAAGAGUGUGUGAGAGCCUGUCAAAAUGUGUGCAUGUAAGCCUGUUGUCAGCAUGAGUAUGUGAGAGCCUGUCAAGAGUUUGUGUGUGCGAGCCUGUCAAAGUGUGUGUGUGUGCAAGCCUGUUGUCAGCAUGAGUGUGUAUGUGAGCCUGUUAGUGUGUGUGCACGCGUUUAGGUACCUGCCCCCUCCGAUCACAUGAGGAGGGUGUUUACUUACCUUUCUUCCCAUUUUCCCACGCCAUGCCAGUUUCACCAUGACUGAGAUGAUCAAUCUGUAUGAUCUCAGCUAGGCCAAUGCUUUCCCUUAGGAAAGCAUUGGGAGGAUUUUAUGCAUGCGCAGCAAAUGUACCAAUCCGGA